GCUGGGUGUGGUGGCUCACACCUGUAAUCCUAGCACUUUGGGAGGCUGAGGUGGGUGGAUCACUUGAGGUCAGGAGUUCAAAACCAGGCUGGCCAACAUGGUGAAACCUUGUCUCUACUAAAAAUACAAAAAAUUAGCUGGGCAUGGUGGUGGACACCUGCAAUCCCAGCUAUUUGGGAGGCUGAGGCAGGAGAAUCACUUGAACCCCAGAGGCAGAGGUUACAGUGAGCCAAGACUGCACCAUUGCACUCCAGCCUGAGCAAGAGAGUGAGACUCCAUCACA
rnacentral:sRNA from 1 species